rnacentral:lncRNA from 1 species
GAAGAAGAAGAGAGAGAAGAGUCGUUUUUGUUCUUUUGUUCUUCCGAGAAGUGUUUCUUUUCUGGAGAAACAACUUUUUUUUGUUUCUUUUUUCUGUUCCUAUUUCGUUCCAGAAACAAAAAAACAAAAAAGGAACAAAAACGCAACCAAACGCGUUUCUGUUCCUUUUUUGUUCCCGAGCACACUUUCCGUACAAAAGUGUGCCGGAAACGUUUCUUAGAAACGUUUCCAUGCACGCCCUU